ensembl:misc_RNA
CCCGCGUGUCUCGUAUCAUGGUCGGUGGUAAGUGCAGGAGGUAAUUAGAGCAGGAUCUUAAACUUGCAGCCAGCCGACUGAAUCGUUAAAAAACAGCCACAGAGAAAACUCACACCAACAGUAACACUUGAGAGACAAUUCAGAAACACAGUAUAUUUUAAAGGAAGGAUUACAGUCCUUGACGUCUGGAAAUUGUUGU